rnacentral:rRNA from 1 species
AUUGAACGCUGGCGGCAUGCCUUACACAUGCAAGUCGAACGGUAACGGGCCUUCGGGUGCCGACGAGUGGCGAACGGGUGAGUAAUACAUCGGAACGUGCCCGAUCGUGGGGGAUAACGAGGCGAAAGCUUUGCUAAUACCGCAUACGAUCUACGGAUGAAAGCAGGGGACCGCAAGGCCUUGCGCGGACGGAGCGGCCGAUGGCAGAUUAGGUAGUUGGUGGGAUAAAAGCUUACCAAGCCGUCGAUCUGUAGCUGGUCUGAGAGGAUGAUCAGCCACACUGGGACUGAGACACGGCCCAGACUCCUACGGGAGGCAGCAGUGGGGAAUUUUGGACAAUGGGCGCAAGCCUGAUCCAGCCAUGCCGCGUGCAGGAUGAAGGCCUUCGGGUUGUAAACUGCUUUUGUACGGAACGAAAAGCCUUCUUUUAAUACAGGAGGGUCAUGACGGUACCGUAAGAAUAAGCACCGGCUAACUACGUG